AGAAACUGACAAGGAGAUUGCAACAUUUUUAUGAAGAUAUAGAAAAUGUCUAAAUGUCCUAAAACUCAUUGGUGAUGUUGCACCACUAUUUCCAGGGAAGUUACUAAAAUCAUCAAACUGUACAUUUGAAAUGGUUGAAUGUUAUAUAAGAGAGGUAUCUGUGAGGCUGCUUAAAAAUGCCCAAGAUGCCUCUGUUCAAUCGGAAGGACUCGUGGUCUCCAUCCCCCAACUCCAGGAGCCACCAGAAAGGCUCUUCAUGACCUUUCCUGUAGGUCAGGGCGAGAGAAGCUGAAAAAUUCCAUUCUCUCCAGCAAGAGAGGUGUCAGACUGGCUGGAGGUCAGGAACCUUUGAGGGUAAUGGAUCUUCUGAGUGUCACUUCAUCCCAAGGGUCUACUUAGAUUCAAAUCCCUCUUGCUGCCGUAUCAGCUGUGACUCCUAACGUCCAGGCUGGGGUUCUUUCCGUGGGGAUUCUGCAUUCUACGUCCCUUCAGUCAUCACAGAUUCCACACGGCUUCUGUAGCUACUGCUACCUGAGUUAGCCAUGAGCAACUCACCAAAGGAAAAACAGAGGCUGAGAGUCCGGACAGAGGGAGAGGACUCCUGCCCUCACGUGUGCCUGGACUCUCGGCUUCCACCCCGGGCCACACCAGCACACCUCUGUUAGCAAGCCCUAAGCCCCCCACGCACCCCGUUUCUCCAUGACGCCAUGUCCUAGCAGGUCCCCCCUCCGUCCGCAUCCUCCCCACCACAAAGCACCCCACCUCCUGGGGCCUCAUUGCCCAGCCCGGCCCCUGUGGCCUCCCCUCAGCUGAGCCCCUAGAGCAGCCAGAACAUAGGACUCCAGCUGGAAACAUUGCUGGCUGUUACUCCUGGACUGGGGGCCUUCUCUCCCGUCUCCUCGGGAGAAAGGGUCACCAUGGCUUAUAUUUCUCAUUUUACAUGACACUUCCGGGCUCCUGUGUGCUGGCUUCGUUGUGGGUGGUUCCACGGAGACAGCAGCCUGCGAGCUGGCUGGCGGGAGGAGAGGCGGCCCUCCUCAGCAGGCCACAGGAAGCAGUCCGCUGGGCAGGAGGGACACGGAGCUGAAGGCGUCCAGGACAGAGAGGGCAGGAGAGGAAGAGCCGGGGUGGCGCCAGGAGCGAGGCGGAGGCGGGCAGACUGUGACAGCUGGCUCUGGGCACCUGGCGGAGACCCAGGGGAGCCUGGGAGAGUGCGCCCCCCAACCAGGCUAGGACUUGGCCCCCUGUGACGGCCAACCCCGCACCUCCCUGACACUUCCUCUGAAGCUGGGAGAGAGGAGAAGCCCCCAGCCUGCUAAGCUGGGGCUGGAAGCCCGGAGCCCUCAGGCCACAGGAGAGGCUGAACCGAUCCCAGCUGCUCACCCCACGAGCGGGCAGAUGAGCUGCCCACGCAGGCCUGUCUCACGGACCCUCCCGGUCGCAGGGGGUCUUUGACAUUCACCACCGCGGAGAGGCGCUCGGGGUGGGAAGAGGAGACACGGCCCUCCGGCUUCUCCCCCACAUUUCUCCCAGCCCAGCCUGCAGCUCUGUCAUGAGGAUAAGUGACUCUCGUGGAAGCUGAGAGGUAUUUCCAGCCAGUUCCACAGCUCCUCAGCAGAGGGGGGAAGCGAGAGGGCUCCCCUCGUCUGCCUGCCCUGUGUGCGCAGGGCCGCCUUCCCUGACCGCCUCCUCCGCGCCUCCCAGCCCCUUCUUCCCCCUCAGGCCUCCUCCGGCCCGGCCUCAGGGCUGAAUGCUGUCCUCAGCAAGCCCCCUGCCAGCCCUUCUUGGCCAUGGACCCUAGACCAGGGCCAGCAAACCUGUCCUGGAAAGCGCCAGAGACUCCAUGUGCCAGCGCAAACCCGACCAUGGACCCAAGAGAAACGAAGGAACACAACAGGGCUCCAAUAAAGCUUUCGUCACCAAGGCAGGCGGGGGCGCACGCGGCCCUCAGGCCCUGGCUCGCUGCCCCGAGCGCACCAGCCGGCUUCGUGGACUUGGGAGAGCGCGAGGCCCUCAGCAAAUACCGGAGAAAGAGUGUAACGCGGUGAGGACGCCAACGCUGAGCCACGCCGCGCGCCCGCUUCCCGUCCCAGCGGCCUCCUCCCCACGAAGAGCGACUGAGCUGCGGAAACGGCGACGGCGGACCGAGAGGCUGGUGGAGGGUCCCCGACACCACACGAGCCAGGGCCACGUGCGUCCCCACUUGACCGGUGAGGAAACUGAGGCUCAGGAAGUGGAUGCAAGGCACCCAGUGACAGGCGCAGUGAGUCCCAGUGUUCCUGACUCCCGUUUGACACGCCCUCGGCCUCCCAACCCCGACAGGGGGAGCCCCCAAACACAAGCCCUCCCGGAAAACGGCCCCUACGGAGGCGGAGAGGAAAGCGCCAGGCCCCCGCCUGGCUGAGCCACCACACGGAGCAGGGAGCCAGUACUUCUCAAAGACGCACGGCCCCACGCGACGUCACCUUUGAUGCUCCUGGUGAAACAAAGCCUCUAUUCUCUUGCCAGUGUCCCCCCCUCAGACGGGAAGAAGCUUUUGAUCUACCGAUUACAUUCCUGUGCUCCUCAGGUGACAAGCGUCCCCUGCCCGACACCCUGAUGACGGACGUGCCUUUGACUAACAAGGUGUAAGAAACUUGGCCCCCGGGCCAGGCAGCGCCCAGCGAAGGACAGACCGAGGGCUGCAAGGGGCGAGGCGAGCCCCAGCCUGCCCAACGCAGGAUCCCGCAGCAGCCCACGUGGAGGUGACUUGGCACGACCUCAGCGAAGCCCCCAUCAGCUCAUCCACAUCUGCACCGAAAAUGGUGACAACCUGGUUGCAGAGGCCACUGCCCCCUUCCAGGCGAAUCCGUUUGGAAAGGAGGGCGGGAGCGAGGCCAGCCCGACUCCAGCCACCUUCUGCGCAAGAGCCAUCCGGCACCAACACCGUCACUAUUCGAGCUGCCUGAGCUCACUCUUGUUUUGUGUGCCCCCAUCAUAUCCGCGGCAGAUCUCCGACUGAGCUGCCUGGCCUGGGAGCUGGGAUGUCAGGACCCCGUGGGGCAGGUAGUGACCAACCCAAAGUCAACGACCCACGCAGGCAGCCCUUUCACAGGAGGAGUCACAGAGGCUGCUCCCUGGUGGGACUGAGCAUCAAGAACACUGGCCUGAUGUCCUGGUUUGCACGGCUCUGUCCUGCGAACAAGGUCCAUGGGGACAGGGCAAGCUAGUGGACAGAGUGGGUCCUGGGUGGGCCUAGAACCUGGAAGGAGUCACCGACGCGAGAAGGGCAGCCAAGGUGCUUCUUUACGACCUUAUGCCGAGGGCACGUUCUUAGAAGGCCAACCCACAGGGGAUGCUUCCAGGGGUAAAACUGUUCUCGGAGACACUCCGAGGUAGACCACCCAUAAAGGUACAACAGCAAGAGUAAGCCCCACGGACUUGCGUUCAUCAUAACCUAUCCGUGCUGCCACUUGUCACAGAGAACCACACGGACGAAAGAUGUGAGCAGGAGGGACAACGGCGAGGGAGACGGUAGUGAAGGGGGACUCUGUGCUACCUGCUCCACUUUCUGCAAACUUAAAACUUCUCCAGAAAAACAAACUCUAUUAACUAGGAAGGAAGGAAGCGAGAGAGGAGGGAAGCUCUGAGGCUUUGCAGGGCCGUCCGGGCCCACCCAGUCACAGCUGGCGUCUCUGGAUGUGGUGUCUCUGGGUGUGAGCAUGACAGUGUCUGCCCCGAGGCUCCAGGCCGCUGGGAAAGGGCGUAGGGACAGGGGAAGGGCCAGCAGUCAGGAGGCUGUUACCACAAGCCAGGCGGGAGAAGGUGCAGACCCGGGCGUAAAGCCCACAUUUCCGGGGACCGCAGCAGGAACACGAGGGGAGAAGCGGUGCCCACCUAGGCUAUCCUGCUGUAACUGUGAG
rnacentral:lncRNA from 1 species